rnacentral:tRNA from 1 species
GCUGCAGUGCCAGAGAGGCUGAAUGGCACGGUCUCGAAAUCCGUUGGUCCGUCAGGGCACGGGGGUUCGAAUCCCUCCUGCAGCG